rnacentral:rRNA from 1 species
GGUUGAUCCUGCCAGCAAUCAUAUGCUUGUCUCAAAGAUUAAGCCAUGCAUGUCUAAGUAUAAGUGAUUAUACGGCGAAACUGCGAAUGGCUCAUUAUAUCAGUUAUAAUCUACUUGAUCGAAUAUUUUACUUGGAUAACUGUAGGAAUUCUAGAGCUAAUACAUGCAAAAAGUUUGGACCGGGCAAUCGGGAAGAACGCGUUUACUAGACCAGAAACCAGGUUGGGCAUUCAACUUUGUCGGUGGGCAACCCCGGCAAGGGUCCAAUUUCAGAGAUGAUUCAUAGUAAGUUU